rnacentral:rRNA from 1 species
GCGGGACUACCCGCUGAA